rnacentral:rRNA from 1 species
UACGUAGGGUGCGAGCGUUGUCCGGAAUUACUGGGCGUAAAGAGCUCGUAGGUGGUUUGUCGCGUUGUUCGUGAAAACUCACAGCUUAACUGUGGGCGUGCGGGCGAUACGGGCAGACUAGAGUGUGGUAGGGGAGAUCGGAAUUCCUGGUGUAGCGGUGGAAUGCGUAGAUAUCCGGAGGAACACCGGUGGCGAAGGCGGCUUCCUGGACCGACACUGGACGCUGAGGCGCGAAAGCUAGGGGAGCAAACGGG